CUCGCACCCCUCCGGUCGGCCCCGCCCCUCGGGUCUAGUACCGCCUCUUCCGCGUUCCCGGCAGAGCGGUUUGCAGGUGGGGUUGCGCGCGACUGGUCCUGCGGUGAGUCGGCUGAGGAUGGAGGCUAGACUGGAGCAAAGAAGAUCCCGGAAUGGGGACAUCGAUGAGGAGGCUGUUGGAAUAAUCCAGUUUAGGCUUAAACUGAGAACCAUUGACCUACUGUAGAAACUACCUGCUCUAGAUUUUCAUGCCAGAUAUGAAGUUGAGGCCGAUGGAGAACUGAAGAACGUCUGCUACGUACAGAGGCCAUUGAAAUACUUCCUAUGACUAGAAGGCAGCAACCCCCUGUCAAAAGCAUUAUUUUAUUUUGAAUUUCAAGUUUAUAGAGGAUUCGCUCUCCAAAAGUUGGGCAAACCUAUAGGAGAUGCAAUGACAGUUCUGAAGGCUACUUGUGAUCCCAGAAUCAGAACAGAGGAAGGAAGAAGAUGAGCCUGAAUCUAGAUCCUGUGCCUCUGAGAAUCUUACUGUCCCAGCCCUUUUUUGAAGCCUGUUGUGAAUCACCACCCUGUUGGCACCUUAGUGGGCUUCAUACUUCUUUUACUGUAGUUGAGUGAGACACUGUAAUCUGCAUAAUGCUGCCCAGCUUUACUAUAGAUGGGACUCUUGGGAAAAACCUGUGAAGUAUCUUAGCCCCUGAAAUCACGCUUACAGAUCGUCCUUUGAUUAAGCUGAUUUCACAGCUGGCUCCUUUCAUCCAUCAUGUGUUAAAUUUGACUACCUUCCGUUUGAGUGUUCCCUUUCCCUGACCUUGUCCCCUACAUAGUAAUGAUAUCAUCAAAAACCAAAUCACCCCACUAAUGGGUCUGGCAGAAUAAUAUAGCCUUGUACCUGAUAGAAGAAUUGCCAUGAAAUAAUGCGAUUGGGCUGGUUUGUAGUUCAUCCUACAUAAUGUGACAAAACACAAAAUAGAAAGCUAUCUCAGAGCAAGAAGAAGAAAGUUCCGAUUAAUAUAAUAAUAAUAAGGUAGUAAUAAUACCCCUGUAUUUAUGUCAGCUAGAGCAGUGCUGCCCAACCUUAUUGACCUCAUAGCACACGUAGAAAAUGAUAUUGUUCAACCUGAUGAGAAGAUCAGUAUCUCAUUCACAGCACAUCAGUAGGGAAGCUCUGUGCUAAGGUUUCUAAGUAAAAGCAUUCUUGCUGGGGCCUGGCUAACUCUGGCCACCCCCUUUUGCCUUUCAGCAUUAAUGUUUAAAUAUAUUAUUUCUGAGCCAGACUAUCUAGAUUUAAAUUCUAGCUCUGCCACUUACUAGCUAUGUGACCAUGGGCAUAUUACUUAAUCUCUUUGUA